CAACAUCACACUUUAUGACUUUGCACGAGGGUUGGCAACACAUGCCAAUACCAGGCUGCCAGAAACAUUCAGACCACACGAUGGACGACUGCUGGAGCCUACCCUGUCAAAUAUUUCUCUUGCCAGUUCAGGGCAAGUCAAAGCCAAUUUGUCGUGGCUAUCCCAGAAAAAGGAGGUUCCUGAUUUUAAUGGCCACCCUAUCACCGGGUCAUCAGAGCGUUAUGCUCUGUAUGACCGAUUUCAUGAAGCCAACACUAAAGAUGCCAGAGAUGUUCUGCGAAGGGUUGAUCUCGCCCCAGAAUUAUGUGGCUGGCUGAACAGUCAAUGUGCCGAACAGCUGUUCUCGGGGAUGAGGAAGAAUAACUAUUUUUUAAAUAUGAUGACUCCUUCCUCUCACGUGUUUUUGAUGAGGAAUAUAUUACAUCACUACAACACAGCAAAGAAUUCAGCCACCAUAGCAAAUAUGAAAAAGAUGCUUGGUGUGGGGAUCGACAUCGGAUUUAAUUCUUAUGGUCAAACAGUGCUGGCCGGAAUUAAUGAGGCCCAAGAUCCCAGCACAACCGCAGAUGAGGCCCAAGACCCCAGCACAACCGCAGAUGAGGCCCAAGAUCCUGCCAUGGCCACAGAUCAUGUACCAAACACUGGAACGACAGAGGCUUCAGUACUUGUUCAAUCAGUGUGCAGACCAGACUGUUGGGGCCUACCCCAUUUAAGACAUCUGCUUGCCAGAUCAGGCAUCACAGAGUCACAGGUUGACUAUGUGCUCCAUGCCAAAAGACCAGAAACCGAGAUUAUUGGGACAAUUGGCACUACCAUCUUAUCACGGCAAGACUUCCGGUCACUUGGAUUGCAGCACAACUUUGAAGCAACAAUUGCCAACAGCUGCAUGGAGCUGAUUUGUGACAUGGCCUGGUGGAAGAAGAAGGAUGUAUAUGCAGCGGAUGCCUAUGUCGUUGCCACUUGGCAUGCACCAAGUUUCCAGGACCCUUUUCUUAAUUUACCGGCUGAUGCAGCAUCAAAGGAUCUCCUGAUUUUUCCUGUGUGGAAACCAGGACACUGGUUCCUCUGUCUCCUGAUGCCCAAAGCUUUCCGAAUAUAUCAGCUGGACUCAGCUGAUCCCUUGCGCUUUGGUGACGAGCAAUAUUUAGGCGUAUUCAGGUUUAACGUCUCUUUAAUUGGAACUGUUCCCCGUUCCCUAUGCAAUGCUGUUUGAAAGAAAACAACAUCCUUCAUGUUCCGAAGGUUUGUGCUGUUUUGUUGUUUUCCAUGUUCUGAAACUCAUAGACAGCAGUUAUGAAAUAAGUAUUAGAAAAUUGACAUGGGGACAUUAGUUAGUACAUAGACUGUUCAUUCAUACACCAAUGGGCAAAUUUGCCACUAAACUACUUCAUUCACUCGAUUACUACAUCAAGCUUUAACUGUUGUCUAUGGCUUUAGGAAUAUAUGUGUUUGUGUGCAUGUGUAGUGGGGCAGUGAAGCAUUAUUUAAGUUAUCAAUACCAAAAGUCAAUCAGAAGAGAUCAUCUCUACUUUAAAUUGCACAUUUUAGUUGCACCUAGCUUCACUGCUCGUUCUGCAAAACGUGAAGGGUUUUGGUGGUGAGGGUUUUGUGCUACAACUCUUUGCCUGCUCAACUAAUGUUCUGUUUACUAUCUGUAGCUCAAUUGCCACACGUUUGGCUACUGGCCACUGGAAAGUCAUCAGAAACAUGGAGCCUCCAGGCCAGGCCAAUUCAAAUGACUGUGGAGUGUUCAUGGUUAUGUACGCUCUUUAUAUGGCCUUGGGGUGGAGAUUUGACUUCAGUCAGGAUGACAUGCCAUGGUUACGAAGGUGGUGGUGCCAUACGAUGCUUGCAAAUAUGACUCUCGCUGCAAACGCUAAUGACACUGCUUUGGCAUGUAAUGUCUUGCUAGCCGAAGAACCGGCAAGCAAAAUUCAACGUAUGGGGGACAUACAUCCCGAGGAAUCCCUUGAACAGAGAACCAUGACAAGAAUCAAUGGAGCAGUAUGCUGGAUACGGGACAACAUGUCUCUUUUCCGUGGACAUGUUGAACUGCCCAGCAUAUUGUCCAUGACAGCAGUGGAUCGACAGCAGUUCUUUCAGAACAUUGCCAAUGAUGAUGACAUCCAUGACCCAAGAGAAUGCCUCCUUUUUGUUUUUGAAUGUCAAGAAGAUUACACCAUUUUUUUUUUAUUCUUGUCCAGCUGUGUCGGCAAUGUUCAACACCCCUGCCCUUUCCCCUUAGCCAGAGGACGGGCACCACCCCUGUCCACCCCUGGCCCACCUACCACCUCAA